rnacentral:lncRNA from 1 species
GGAAUAUCCAAACCAACAUGAACACAAAUUAAUUUCCAAAUGCCAUGGGUUAACGCAGUAGAACUCAACAUUUUUACAAUAAUUCACACUUCUAAAUACAGAAUACAUUCAUACAAAAACAAACACCAAUGAAUCAACAUAUAAAGCAUCGUGUUAAUUUUAAUGGGCCGAUUUACAACAUAACAACAUACAUAUCAUGUAACAGCCAUAAAUAAAAUCCGAUAGGAAACGCAAUGUAAUCAAAACCGAAUGCCGUCGUGGUAUUCAUAGAGUCACAUGAUUAUUACAUAUUCAAAAACUUCAACAAGGUGGAAAUAAGCAUCAACAUUACCUAAUAAUUACUUGCACUUAUCAAAACAACAAGAUGAAGUGGCGGUACAAAAAUGAAGGAUUGAAAUAUUACCAAUUCCACAGGAGGACGGAUCGAAUUACUUUGGUGCUGCUUUGACGUUAAGACACGGUUCACAACAUGAAAACUGAAAGUUGUUGAAAGAAUGGAUCACCCUCUCUGAUUAAGACCGUAGUAUCAGAGGCGAGCUUGAGUGGCCUCACUGAUAUCAUUUUUGGUUUGGUGAAAUAAGAUCAACGGGUGAAUGCGUGAGGUCAUGGUUUUGGCGGUCGUUUGUGUGUGGACGGAGGUGAAUGGAGUUUUCAUGUCGUUGUCCCAGAUGAUGGUGAUGAACCCGUGUGGUGAUGUUGUGAACAGUAUUGAUGAUGGAAGGUUGAGCUGUCACCGGCAAGAGUUUGCCAUGGUUAGCGGUUGGAUGUGCGGUGAAUAGGAUGAAAGGCAGUGGAGUAGAUGAAGCCGUAGAGUUGUUGCAAGGGCACGGCGGUUCGUUGUCGCCGAUGGAGAUUUGUGGAGGGGUUCGUUUUUGUUGGAAGUGAAGGUCGUGCGGUGGAGAUCAACGGAGGCAUGGGUGGUUACCACGGUAGAAGGGUUGUGAGUUGGCGAUUUCUUGAAUGAGAAGAUUGAAGGGUCGUCGUUGUGGUGGUUUCGACGGUGGUGAGGGAUUUGUGGGCGGUGUUUCAUGGUGUGGUUCGGGGAAGACAGAGGGUAAAUGACGGUGAUUUGUGGAGGAGGAUUUGUGAGUUGAAGAUGGUCGGAGAGAGAGACGCGCGGUGGUUGGUGCUGGUUAACGACGGCGGUUUCUCCUUUUUCUUUUUUGGUUUCUUUCUUCAGAGUGUGUAAACGGUGAGAGAGAGUGUAAGGGGAAGGGUCGUGUAGCAGAGAGAGAGAACGGAGAAUGAGGCGUGUUCUGGAGUGGUUUUUUUUUAGAGAGGGAAUGACAUGUGUAUUAAUGAGUGAGAAAGGUGGUUGUUUCUGAAUGGAUAGUUGGCUGAUGGGUGUAAUGAAUAAGGAGUAUUUAUUUCUUUUUUUUUGUAACGUCUUUUGUCUGAGAGAGAGAUAUCAAGUGGGUGAGUGAGGGAUUGGGGAGAGAAGAGAGUGGGGUAGUUAGAGAUUAAUGGUGAGAGAAAUAUGGUGAGUGAGGUAGCGUGUGGGUAUCGAGUGAGGUGAUGUGAAGAGAGAUAUCGUGACACGUGGAGGGAAGCGAGAAGAGAGGUGAGGGCGCGUGCAGUAAUCAUGGAGAGAAAAGAGAGAGACGUUGAGGGAUAAUGAUAGGAAGGAGAAAAUGGAAUGUGAGAGAGAGGGAGAGUUUUUUUAUGAGCUGUCCAUAGAAUCCAAUGUAUACAAAAAUAUAUUUUUUGCAUACAAUUAUUAUUCAUUUAAGAAAAUAAAAUCAUAAAAUAAAAUUCUAAUUAAUAUUUGAUUUAAAUAAAUUCUAAUUACUUUAAUUAAAUAACUAAACCAAAAAAUAUUGAUCGAUUAGAAAUAGAAACAGAGUAUAAAUUUGCUCAGAAAAUUAAAUCAGUCACACUAAAAUGAUCAGCACAAAAUAUACUUAUUGAAAAAAUAAAGCGUUUCUUCAAAUUCUAAAAUGAAUUUGCACCGGCUAAAAAGCUCAGGCGGGUCAAAACGCAACGGAAACAGCCGCUUAAAAAUGCAACGAGUUCGCCAGGUUAAACUACGUGAACCGUAGAUUAAUAAUACUGGCGUCUGCAAUUUUUAUUUUGAAACUUUUUACCCGCUGAUUUUUGCCCGUUCUUUGAGAAGUGAUUCAACCGAUUUUUCUGUAUUUUUAAUAAAUUUAUUCUGACUGAUAUUUUAGGUAUUAUUCAUGAUGGAAUGUAUGUCAUGCUAUGCAUGUGAUGCAAAAUAAAAAUGAAAUCAAUUCUACGAAAAUUUAAAUAUGCCCGGACAAAAUUGGGGUAUGACAGUUGCCCCUAUUUAGUUAUCUUGAACUAGAAAGUAAGAAUGACGACAAUCUUCAUACAUUUGUGGUGGAAGGUAAUUAAAUACGAAAAGACCCAAUUUUCUCCUUUGGAAUGCAAUGGAGAUAUGCAGAAAGAAAAUGCAAAGAAUUCUAACAGCACCAAUGUAUAGGGGUAGAAUGCCAAAUAAAUGCCAACCCUCGACUCGACACGCGAUCUCCCAAAGGUCGUACUGACAUGAGGACAAAAGCUGAACAGGUUUCCUGGCACCAAAAGGAUGACAAUAGAGUUAAUUUCCAUCACCAAAAGGAUGAUGGUAAUUCACCACGAUUUCCAGGAUCGUCAUCGCCAAAAGGAUGAUGGAUAAACCAAUCUUUUAAAGGUAGUCAUCACCAAAAGGAUGAUGGUUAUAGUGGCUACAACAAAGAUCACCAUCACCAAAAGGAUGAUAAUGAGAUCAACAACAAUCUCGCUAUCACCAAAAGGAUGAAAGUUAAACAUAAUCCAAAGAUUUCCAUCACCAAAAGGAGGAGGUCCGUCACCAAAAGGAUGAUGGUUAUUUUGAUAAGGUUUCUCAUUACGAGAGUAUAAUAUCAAGGCUAUCACCAAAAGGAUGAUAGUUGACUCAUCAACCUCAAACAUCAACGUCACCAAAAGGAUGAAGGUAAGAUCCAACAAAAAAACUUGUUAUCACCAAAAGGAUGUGAUAAUAAGUCAAAUAACUUCAAUGAUCACCAUCACCAAAAGGAUGAAGGUAUAGUCACACAACAAACUUGUUAUCACCAAAAGGAUGAUAAUAAGUCGAAACUCAAUGAUCACCAUCACCAAAAGGACGAAGGUAAGAUACAAGACAAAUCUUAUUACCACCAAAAGGAUGAUAAUAAGUCAAAAAAAUUACCAUCACCAAAAGGAUGAAGGUAUAAUUAAAACAUAACUUGUUACCACCAAAAGGAUGAUAAUAAUUCAAGACACCGUAAAUGAUAACUAUCAUCAAAAGGAUGAAGGUAAGAACAAAACUUUAAAACUUGUUAUCACCAGAAGGAUGAUAAUAAGUCAAUAACUCAAAUGAUCACCAUCACCAAAAGGAUGAAGGUAAGAUCAAAAACAAAAUUUGUUACCACCAAAAGGAUGAUAAUAAGUCAACAAUCACCAUCACCAAAAGGAUGACAGUAAAGUCACACAACAAACUUGUUAUCACCAAAAGGAUGAUAAUAAGUCGAAACCCAAUGAUCACCAUCACCAAAAGGAUGAAGGUAAGUUACAAGACAAAACCUGUUACCACCAAAAGGAUGAUAAUAAGUUAAUAACUCAAAUGAUCUCCAUCACCAAAAGGAUGAAGGUAAGAUCAAAAACAAAACUUGUUACCACCAAAAGGAUGAUAAUAAGUCGACAGUCACCAUCCCCAAAAGGAUGAAGGUAAGAUCCACAACAGAACUUGUUACCACCAAAAGGAUGAUAAUAAGUCAAUAACCUUAAAUAACAUUGACACCAAAAGGAUGACAGUGGGGUUGAACUUUCCAAAGGUAACAAUCACCAAAAGGAUGAUAGUUUAAACCAAACUCCAUAAUCUAUAUCACUAAAAGGAUGAUAUUUAGAUUGAACAAGACGUCAUCACCAAAAGGAUGAUAGUUGAACCAAAAUGAUAAGGGUCCUUAUCACCAUAGGGGUCGCCGACACCAAAAGGAUGACGGUAGGCUGUAAUAAUUGUAGAGGUCGCCAUUCACCAAAGGAUGAAGGUUAGGCCAAACAUCAACGAUCGUUGACACCAAAAGAAUGACAGUAAGAUAAAAAAUGUCAAGGAUACCAUUACUAAAAGGAUGACGGUUACCGUAAAUAGGACGAUGAUCAAUAUUAUUCUUCAAUGGACUUUCACAAAAAGGAUGAUAGUGGGAAAAAUAUUGGAAAAAUAAGGCUACUGUCACAGUUCAAUAAACCUGAUUUGCUGGGUAGCAUUGGGACAUUGCUGGGUAAGACUUGCUUGGGGUAUCAACAACAAAAGGUUGCAGAACAAAUAUUCUCUGGGGAGAUGUAGUUUCUAUCAACAAAAGGUUACAGGAAACGACUCAUUGAGGGACACUCAAUGCGAAACAAGGUAAGGGUCUAAAGAAACAUUGUCUUUGACUUAGUUGAAGAUAACAUCGUAUCAACAAAGGUUGAAGGAUGUAACCCAAUGGGAAACACCCGAUAGCAGGGUAGGAACUUACUCAAAAAAUAAUGACUUAACCGAGGGUUGGCCUGGAUGCCUACGACUAAAACUUGCAUCUUGAUUCGUGCUAUAUGCAUAAAUGUUAUGUAUGGGUUAUGUAAUGAGUUGAUGCAUAUGAGGCAUGUGAUGCAUGUUUGAAUGCAAAUAAUGAUUGGUUUGUGUGGGAUUUCCCCCCCUUUUCAAAGGCGAUGUAUUUUCUGGAUACUAAUGCUGGGUGUAUUUGUUUUUGUGUGGGUGCCAGCAAGUUGGACUUUGACUUUUCUUGUAACUGUCAACGUGGGUUGGACUGUUGGUUGGUGGAACGAUCUGAUUUCCGACACUCGGUAGUGGAUGAUGUGAUGAUCACACAAUGGAUAUGGAUACUCCUGGUGCCCCGAGUUUGUUCUCUUGCUGAUAUGUUGAGUAUUUGUCUUUGAGACGAUCUCAAUUCUUCUUCUGAGAUGUUUGGCCCACCUGUAACUUAGGCAUAACGACAUGAUCAACGCAGGAUGAUUAUGCCUUUGACGUGCCCCAAGGAUUCUUGUCAAGAUGUGAUGUUGCAUUGGUAUGAACUUUCAACAUUUUGGUUAUGAAUCCAAGCACUCACUAAUGUCCGACACUGUGUGCUUGAUUUACUUGAAGAUAUUAAGGGAAUUUUCCCCUUGCAAUUUGCCUUUCCCCAGUUUGUAGGGUAUUCAAAAGAAUUCUCCUUGCAAGGAAACCUUAGGAGUGAUUAUCCCAUGACAUGGUCUGAGUCGAUUUCCUUCAAUGUCUGAUUCUAGCAAUGGUCUGCCCCCUGAUUAGUCUUUAAGGGACUUGCCUAAGAAGAACUGAGUAUUUGAAGUGUUUUUUCCUCCUUGAUCAACCGAGGCUUGGAGAUUCGUCUUACACUGACUACUUCUUCAGUCAACGUAAUAAAAAAGAUGCCAUGCCCUUGAUCCAUAGGAUUAUGAGAUGGUUUUGAUUCGUGUCAGCGCCAAUGAUCAAGUGCCUCUGGAGUUGCCCUUUGUUGGAAUUUCCUUGAUGUCAAGUAUUGUCUUGCAGUAAAGAAUUGCUCAUUCAUGAAAUGGUGAUUUUAAUGCAAUAGUUAUGCAAGUUUUGAAAAACAAUCAUUUACUUGAGAGUUUCGUGGUAGUGUAUGACGAGUGAACCAUGGGUCCAAACGUGGUGUUGAUUUUAGCUAGCGUGUGAACAAUCUAGCAAGAAUAUGAUGCCAAUACAGGUUAUUAGCAAAUAUUUAGGAGUCAGUUUACUCAACCUUGUUGCAGUAUGCUUUCAGAAUAAAUCCUACUUCAAUUAGGUCUUUUGAAGGUUGUAACGUUGCUUGGUUCACGGUUAUUGAAACGAAAGGAUAUAAGGCUCGAAGUUUAUUAUAACCCACCCCUUCUUCAUGAUGAUCUCCAAUCCUAAGUUCAGUUAAUUCGACACGUACUUUAUUUUGAUGAAAGUUCAGUAGUGCAAGAUCCCUUGAAAUGACAGUCAUCUCAUUUUGUUUCUUCAUGGAUAUUGGUGACCCUUUGAUUUGGGUAUGGUGGUCACUGAUUCUUGUUUUGUUUUGUUGAGGACAUUCAUUGUCUCUCUCGAUUUUUGUUUUGAUCCCUAAUUUUUGCAUGGACCGCUUGUUGAAGCUUUAAUCCAUCGGGAUUGCCCCAGUUUUUGCCUAAGUCUCGUAUUUAGGGUGCUUGACUUAACAGGCUCUUUUUUUGAUUUUAUUUUGUUGAAAAUUGUGACUACCGAGUCAUUGGUCAUUUGAAGAACAACCGACAUAGAUUUUGGAUUUGUAUGGUUCUUUCAACACUUCAGGAUGUGUGCGAAGAAUGUCAUAUGGUUGAUCCUUGUACAGGAUAUUUCACCUUGUAAUUUGAAUGCGUAGUCAGAUUAACUAAACACUACUCUGCCCCAGGUUAAGCGUAAGGGUUUGGAGAUCCAAAAGAAACUCCUACUUCUAGGCUCGAAGUGGUUGACUAGGGAUUAAAUCCUUAUCUCUCUGGUGUUUGGGGAUUUGAAACAAUGCCUGUACAUCAUUAGCAGGACUUUAUCCGAAAGCAUACAAUCAGCAAUUAUGAGUAUUUUGUUUUCGUCAUCCUCCUUCCAACAUUUACUAAUAAUAGUGUGAUGAAGAAGAUGAGGUGGAAAAGUAUGUGCUUGUGAUUUACAAAGGUGAUAGAUGAGUGAAUAUGAAAGAUUGAUUCAAAGCAUGCAUAAUUAUCCCAUUAAUAAGACCAAAUACAAACAAAAAUGUUCAAAACAUACUGUACUUAAACAAACAAGAACAAAUUACAAGAGUGCGAAAAGGUAAAAUUGGCAUAAUGAUCGCCUUCAUUCAAAUGAACAGGUCUUUAUAUUUUGAUUCUUCGGCGGAAUUUCUCUGCUUGCUCAGGCCGGUGAGGAGCUCUAUCUUCGAGCUUCACUAUGCUCCGCAUGCGCUGGCAUGGGGUUUGUUGCAACGUUUGGCCUCACUGGUGUGAAUGUAACUGCCUUACUGUCAAUCAAGUCUCGAACCUUGUGCUUGAAGGCCUUACAGUUCUCUAUUAUGUCUCCUGGAGCACCCAUGUGAUACUCGUAGUGAGCGUUGGCGUCAUAGCCCGGAGGAUAGGGUGGACUUGCAGGUGUUAGCUCCUUUAAAACAACUGAUCCAUCCUUUAGCAGAUAAGGAAGGAUCUUGCUGUAUGGCACUAGAAAAGGAUAGAUAUGUCUUUCUGGCCUCCUUGCCCUCUGCUGGUUGGGUUGACGUUGUUAUGGAGCACGUUGCUAUUGAUUCUGAUGCAGCUGCUGGUAAGCCGGUUGUUGAUGCGGCUGCUGGUAAUCUGGCUGUUGAUACGGCUGUUGAUAUUGUUGUUGAUAUGGUUGUUGAUAGGGUGGAUGAUUUGGUGUCGGGAUGACCGCGACAACCUGAUGAUAAGGUAUAGGAGCAUAUGGAGGUGCCCUAUAUCCUCCUCCUCUCAUUAUGGCGUUGGUUUGACCUUCUGGCUUCUUUGGGAGAUUGGGAUAGGGUUUCUUCAUCCCACUUGAAGAGUUAGCAGCGUAAGGUAGCUUUCCCUUCCUGAUCUGGCUCUCGAUUCGUUCUCCCACGGAGACAACCUCAGCAAAAGUUGGGAAACUGGAUCCUACCAUUUUCUCCAUAUAUUGAGUAUGAAGAGUUACCAUAAACAUAUCAAUCAGCUUUUUGUCGAGUAGAGGAGGUUGGACACGAGCUGCUAGAUCUCUCCACCGCUGUGCGUAUUCCUUGAAUGACUCAUUGUUGCGUUGAGUCAUGUCUUGCAACUGUGUGUGAUUAGGUGCUAGAUCCGUGUUGUAUUGAUAAUGCCUAAGGAAAGCUUCAGCAAGGUCUCUCCAUGACUGGACUUGUCCCCUCUCUAGUUGCAUAUACCACUCCAAGGAUGCCCCACUGAGGUUAUCUUGGAAGUAAUGAAUCAGGAGUUGAUCAUUACUGAUGUGGACAGCCAUCUUGCGACAAUAAGCUCUGAGGUGAGUUCUCGGGCAGUUGAUCCCUUUGUACUUGUCAAAGUUCGGGACUUUGAACUUUUGGGGAAUCACGAGGCCUGACACCAAGCACAUAUCAACGGCGUCCAAGCCGGGAGUAGUGUGAACCUCCAAGGACUUGAAUUUCUCUUCUAGUGCAUGGAUUCUCUCAACAAUUGGGUCUAGGAGACCUCCAACAACAGGUUUGGUGGGUGGUGGCAUGAAGAAAGCCUCAUACGUAUCUUCAUCACCCAUCAUGGAUCCAUGGCGAGCAGAUGUAGCAGAGUGCUCAUGAGGGUUUACAUUGACCAUCAGGAUCGGAAUAGGGAUCGGUGUUCCUCUAGGCUGGGCAGGGUUACCAUCAAUUUUAGUUACUCCAGGGAUGCUAAGUGAUGGCGAUCCAAACUAGGCAGCAACUUUCCUGGCUACGGCGCUAGUCUCAACAUCCUUCUCCUUCUAGGCUAAAAGAAACAUAGUUUCAAGCAAACGGUCCAUCUUAGCCUGCAUGGAAUCGAUGUCGGUUCUCAUCGAAACCUGGUUUCCUUCAAGCUGUUUAAGUGUCAUCCUGUAGUUGCGGCGUGUCUCGUACCGAUGUCGAGUAGUCAGCGUUACUGGAGAAAGGGUAGAAUAUGGUAUAAGUCUUUAUUUCUGGAAGAUGAUUUGCAAUGCAUGUUUAUGAUAUGCCAAUGCAUGAAGUUUUGCCAUAUUUUCGCAAAGGAAUACAGAUACUCAAAGAUUAUUCGCACAUUGGGUACAUCAAGAUAAUAGGAAGAAGCACAGGUUUCUCUGAUUACUAGAAAUUCCCAAGGGUAGGUUCUAAAGUUAUGUUUUCAAGGAAGGAACUUAGACUCACGGAUCAUGUUCAAAACUUCCUCGCAAUGGUGUGCUAGCCACAUCGUGUCAGGAGUUCUGAACUGUUCUAAUCUAAGUGGGUUUCUCGAAUUGUUCGAACAGGAUGUAGACCCUUCAGUUCAAUACUACAUAAUCGCCAAUCAUGAAAACAAAACUUGGGUUUAAGGGGAGGUUCCUAGAGUCACAGAUCGUAUUUAGAACCUCCCCACAAUAAUGGGUUAGCCAUAUUAUGAUGGAAACUCCAAACAGAUCUACUCUAGGUGGAGUCUUCGUACUGUCCCAAUGAGGUGUACACCCCUUAGUUCAAUACUACAAAAGUCCGAGUUCUAAGUUUUUCUCGAAGCUCGGGUAUGGAGCUUAUCUCACAACAUACACCAAGUCCCAUACCAACGUAUCAAGACAAAAUUACAUACAACACAAGAAAUCAAAAUAAAAUACAGAGAAAUAAACAUGGAAGAAAAUAAUAUCUUCCAAGAGUCAUAGCAAAAUCAGACUAAGUUAGGCUAGACUCUCUCUUGCUUGGAGCAGGAUCCCCAGCAGAGUCGCCAGUCUGUCGCACCUCGAAAAAUGCGAUCCCUCGCGAUGGACGCGGAAAAUGUUGUUCGAACAGAGUCGCAACCGAACUUUAUUCAUUCCAAUGAAGGAAUAGGAAAAUAUCGAGAAAACCUUUGAAAAACAGAAUAAUGGUCGUCGCAACCAUAUUCGGGUUCGGGAGUCGAUUACGCAAGGGGAAGCUAUUAGCACCCCUUACGUCCAUUGUACUUAACGUGAACCUUUUAGUCUGAUUUGAUAUUUGAACGUUAGUUGACUAUUAUUCGCUUGCUUCGAGUAAUUAGAAUUUAUGAUAGACAUGGAUGAAGACCUCAGGAGGGGAAAGGGGAGGUUUUUUAUUAGUGUGCUCACGAAGAUACAACAAUCUCUUGCCUACGUAUCCUUAUGGUGCAAUAAGGAAAUUAGAGCAUUCGUAGUUCAGGCUACUACGAAUAUUUGGUGUGUUCGGUUUGAUGAACGACUGUGUAGGGCGGCGUUCUAGCUACUAAAUGUUGGCUUGUCUACUCUCGGGGGAGGCUCUAGCACUGGUUUGUUAUGCGCAUUAGAAAGGAUUAACAAUGUUCUUUUGAAAAGGGUUUUGGUCACGCGGGGGUGACGAGUUGAAUUGACAUGUUGGAUGUUUGAUUUGGGUUGUUUCAAUCGCACGGGGGAGAGAAGCUAGUUUGAUUUGUUUGAGAUGUUUUUGAAGAACGACGAAAUAUUGAGCAAUGUAGUGCACACCAAUUGUCCAAUUCUUUCAACGAAUUAUUUUAAUAGUUUGUUUGUGGAUGUUGAAUAUGCACAGUAGUAAGGCGUACGCCUCCUACUUGCUUAUUCAAAGAAUAAUGAGGCGUACGCCACCUAUUCCUUUAUCCAAGUUUAUUUAAAGUGUUUUAAUCGGAAGUCAAUAAUUUGAACGAUAUAGAGAGCGCCAAUUAUUCAAAUAAUUGAGAGAUGGUGAGGCGAACGCCUCCCAUCUUUUAUCAUCCGAAGUUUAAUUUAUAAAAGAUAUGUUUAGAUGUUGUAUUUGAAUUGCAAAAAUAGUUUGAAUUUCGAAUUGGUAGGUUUUGAUCGAAAGUCGAUGCUUUGAGCAACGUGGCGUGUGCCACUCAUUCAAAUGAUCAAGGAAUGGUGAGGCGAACACCUCCCAUUCAUCCAAUUGAAGUUUAAGUUAAAGUUUAUUUUGCGGAUUGUGUUUGAUAUAAAAGGUGAUUUGAAUUUAUUUGAUUGCGUUUUAAUUUGACGACGAGAAUUCGAGCAAUGUGGCGUAUGCCAAUUAUUCGAAUAAUCGAAAUAUAGUGAGGCGAACGCGUCCCAUCCCUUUAUUAUCAGAGAUUUAGAAUUAAAAGGAUUUAGAAUUUGUAGUUGAUUUAGAAGAGGUGAUUCGAAAUAUUAUGGUUUGAUGUUUUAAUCGGGUGACAAGAACUCGAGUAAUAUGGUGUAUGCCAAUCAUUCGGGUAAUUGAGAAAUAGUGAAGUGAACGCCUCCUAUAUCCUUUUCAGCCCAAGUUUUAGAAUAAAAAAAUGUUUAGAAAUUAUAUUAAUUUAUCUUGAAUAAAAAUACUCGAAGUUGAAUCGAGGUUUGAAUUGGUGUUUACGAAUGAAGUGAAUUUUGUUUUAGUGUAUCGUCCUUCUACUUGAUUAAAUAAAAUUGAAUAGGUCUCAUUGUAAGAAAACCCAAGAGUAAGCUAUGUGAGGUUGAUGGCGAUGCUAAAAGCUGUCGACUUACAAAGGUAUUCGGGAAAUGGACUCGACUUUGAAUCAAGAAUUGUACGACUUAUUUGUGGUUUUGGAUUGAUGAAAUGAAAUUUAGUUUGUAUGGGCUUAGCUUGAGAGUGAUUGAAAUGAUUGUGAAAUUGUAGUGAUAAAAGGAAACGGUCCACUUUUAAUGACCAAAAUUAAUUUAUUAGAAUUCAAUUAAAUCGGUCUAUCUGGUUAAUUAUUAAGUUUAUUUUAAUUUAAUUAAAUAGAUAAGUUAACUAAAAUUAAUUAAUCCUAACUAAUUAAUUAACAAGAUUUAAUUCAUUAAUUCACCGUAAUUAAAAAAAAGUGAGUGACAUUGUUUAUUGAAAAAUGAUUCGGAUCGAGUCGGUCAGAAUGUGCUCAUAAACCGGUUAAUACAUUGCGACAAUUGAAACGUCGUAUGUAAAGAUGAAAACACGGUGAAAUAUUCCUUUGAUUUAUUGAGAUAAACAACGGCAACUUGAAUUACAUAUUUGAAGUAAAAGAAACAAUCUGCGGCAUUUGGGCUUUAAAAAAUAGUGUCGAUCCCGCAAGCCAAAUCCGAUUUCAAAAUGUAAUGGAAUGAAGUUGCAGCAUCAAACAUUACUGUUAUUUCAAAACAAACCUGAACGCUAAACAAAUUAAUUUCAAAAUUCCAUAGAUUAAAGGAGCAUCAUACCAAAUGUUACUGUAAUAUCCAAACCAACAUGAACACAAAUUAAUUUCAAAAUGCCAUGGGUUAACGCAGCAGUAGUACUCAACAUUUUUACAAUAAUUCACACUUCUAAAUAUAGAAUAAAUUCAUACAAAAAAAAACACCAAUGAAUCAACAUAUAAAGCAUUGCGUUAAUUUUAAUGGGCCGAUUGACAACAUAACGACAUACAUAUCAUGUAACAGCCACAAAUAAAAUCCGACAAGAAACGCAAUGUAAUCAAAACUGAAUGCCGUCGUGGUAUUCAUAGAGUCACAUGAUUAUUACAUAUUCAAAAACUUCAACAAGGUGGAAAUAAGCAUCAACAUUACCUAAUAAUUACUUGCAAUU